rnacentral:rRNA from 1 species
ACCUGACUGCUAUCGGAUUGAUACUAAGCCAUGCGAGUCAUUGUAGCAAUACAAGGCAUACGGCUCAGUAACGCGUAGUCAACCUAACCUAUGGACGGGAAUAACCUCGGGAAACUGAGAAUAAUGCCCGAUAGUACACUAUACCUGGAAUGGUUUGUGUUCCAAAUGAUUUAUCGCCAUAGGAUGGGACUGCGGCCUAUCAGUUUGUUGGUGAGGUAAUGGCCCACCAAGACUAUUACAGGUACGGGCUCUGAGAGGAGUAGCCCGGAGAUGGGUACUGAGACACGGACCCAGGCCCUAUGGGGCGCAGCAGGCGAGAAAACUUUGCAAUGUGCGAAAGCACGACAAGGUUAAUCCGAGUGAUUUCUGCUAAAGAGAUCUUUUGUUAGUUCUAGAAACACUAACGAAUAAGGGGUGGGCAAGUUCUGGUGUCAGCCGCCGCGGUAAAACCAGCACCUCAAGUGGUCAGGAUGAUUAUUGGGCCUAAAGCAUCCGUAGCCGGCUCUGUAAGUUUUCGGUUAAAUCUGUACGCUCAACGUACAGGCUGCCGGGAAUACUGCAGAACUAGGGAGUGGGAGAGGUAGACGGUACUCGGUAGGAAGUGGUAAAAUGCUUUGAUCUAUCGAUGACCACCUGUGGCGAAGGCGGUCUACCAGAACACGUCCGACGGUGAGGGAUGAAAGCUGGGGGAGCAAACCGGAUUAGAUACCCGGGUAGUCCCAGCAGUAAACUAUGCAAACUCAGUGUUGCAUUGGCUUGUGGCCAAUGCGGUGCUGCAGGGAAGCCGUUAAGUUUGCCGCCUGGGAAGUACGUACGCAAGUACGAAACUUAAAGGAAUUGGCGGGGGAGCACCACAAGGGGUGAAGCCUGCGGUUC